rnacentral:rRNA from 1 species
UACGUAGGGUGCAAGCGUUGUCCGGAAUUAUUGGGCGUAAAGAGCUCGUAGGCGGUUUGUCGCGUCGGCUGUGAAAACUCGGGGCUCAACCCCGAGCCUGCAGUCGAUACGGGCAGACUAGAGUGCGGUAGGGGAGACUGGAAUUCCUGGUGUAGCGGUGAAAUGCGCAGAUAUCAGGAGGAACACCGAUGGCGAAGGCAGCCCCCUGGGCUAGCACUGACGCUCAGGCACGAAAGCGUGGGGAGCAAACAGG